GUAUAGAUAAACCUUAAUAAAUAUUAAAAAAAGGAAAUAACUUUUACCUUCAUGUCCAACACAGUAGUCACGUUUUCUUUUACGCGCAUGACAUUACUGUUUCUACAUUUCUGCAAUGGUAGUUUACAGCAACAAUGUUUUACACCAGGCAAUGUGGUUAUUUAUUGUUUUUUUGACAAACGGAACGGAUUGCAGUUUUUGUAAAUUCCACGUUUGCCUUACAUGGACAGUUAAUGACCAAUUACUCAAUUUAAAGUGCAGAGUCAAUAGGUUACUUUUUCGGGUUGAAUUUAAAGACCCGUUUAAUAAACUUGUUGGAGAAUGUAUUCCCGGCCGAGAGUGUGAUAGUUACAUUACUAAUGUGGCUAUUGCACAAAACAUUACAACAAAUGAGACUACUUGUUUGAUAACUGGAACAAUAGACGAAAAUCUCAAUGGCAAAUGGAAAUGUCUGCAUGGUACAAAUACAGGUUUAGCUGAUGUUGAAGUCACAGUUCUGCGAA